rnacentral:rRNA from 1 species
GGCGAAAUUGUAGUGCAAGUGAAGAUGCUUGCUACCCGCGAUUGGACGGAAAGACCCCGUAGAGCUUUACUGUAGCUUAGCAUUGAAUCUCGGUAUUGUCUGUACAGGAUAGGUGGGAGACUUGGAAGCUUGGGCGUCAGCCUGAGUGGAGUCAUCCUUGGGAUACCACCCUGACAGUACUGGGGUUCUAACCGGCGGCCAUGAAUCUGGUCACGGGACAUUGUUAGGUGGGCAGUUUGACUGGGGCGGUCGCCUCCUAAAAAGUAACGGAGGCGCCCAAAAGUUCCCUCAGCGCGGUCGGAAAUCGCGCGAAGAGUGCAAAGGCAGAAGGGAGCUUGACUGCGACACAUACAGGUGGAGCAG